UGAAAAGGUCCGAGGUUGGACUCGAGUCACUGAGACUGUGUUGGCUGUACCAGGUAAUUUGAAAGGUAAAAUCGCUCGUAACAAAAAUUGGGGCGCUAAAAGGACUUUAUUUCAAUUACCCAAAGGGUUUCUAACCGGGAUUUUUUUUUGCUGGUAUGGUUGUUUUUUUUCUGGUGUGGGUGCAUUUAGUUCUCGAUUGCCCAUUAGGUGGUUUUCGCCGAUUAGGCAGGCGAAAAUAAAAAAUAAUAAGUUUUCACGUGAAGGAUAGGGGUAUACUUUUUAAAACGCCAUUAGCGAGUCCUUUCAUAUGUUGUAUAGAAAUCGGUCGUUCGAAAAUACCUGAUAUGGAUGCAAAUUGCAAAUAAAAGAGCUCGUCUGGAUAAAAUAUACGAGCAGAGGAAGCAGUGUGAAAAACGAAAAGAGUUAGCAGGAAGGACUGUGGAAUCUUAUGAGAAAUUAGUAGAUUGAAGUAUAUCGUGUUUGGUACUUCUUUGAUACCUUGUUUGACAGAUGUUUUCAAUCAAAAACCAUUAGUUGCAGUUCGUACAUAUAUUCGGGAAAACCAAUUUUACCAAUAGCUCAACACAAUCUUCUACUUAGGAAGUGAACAGGUUUUUUAUUUGAAUAAUAACCUAGUUUUUUUUAUUUCAAUAAAUCAUCCCCAUAUUUGAUAUAUCAGACUCAGAAAAUAACCUAAAUCAAAUAUAAAACAAUAAGUUUCAAAAUAAAAACUAAAAUAUCAAGGUAUCAUAUUAUGUAUCCUCUAAUUCUAAAAUUUAAAACAAGAAAAAAGUGAAGAUAGAAAA
rnacentral:lncRNA from 1 species